rnacentral:lncRNA from 1 species
GUCCCAGUCGGCUUUACCCUAUCGACGCAGCGUCCCCACUGGUUGAAGUUGACAUCUGACGACGUGAAGGAGCAGAUUUACAAACUGGCCAAGAAGGGCCUUACUCCUUCACAGAUCGUGUAAUCCUGAGAGAUUCACAUGGUGUUGCACAAGUACGUUUUGUGACAGGCAAUAAAAUUUUAAGAAUUCUUAAGUCUAAGGGACUUGCUCCUGAUCUUCCUGAAGAUCUCUACCAUUUAAUUAAGAAAGCAGUUGCUGUUCGAAAGCAUCUUGAGAGGAACAGAAAGAUAAGGAUGCUAAAUUCCGUCUGAUUCUAAUAGAGAGCCGGAUUCACCGUUUGGCUCGAU